CGGACCCCUCCCAACCCAGCAGGACAUGGUGAACUCGCACCGGGGCCUGGCCUUCCUGAAAGCAGCAAAGGAGUUCCACUAGCGUUACAUCACCACUGCCAGCCAGACAUCAACCGCAUAACAUUCGUUCUUGUUCUUCUCCUGUGAGCAUUUCUAUGUCAUCUACUGCAAGUUCUGGGAGCUCGACCUGGACGGCGACCUCGCCAUAGACUGCCAUCUCUUCCUGGAUGAUAGACUGCGUCUUCUCUCUCCGGUGCUGUCACCCAGUGAGCAGCCUGGGAGGUCGGAUCACGCUUUGUGGCCUGAAGCGCUUGAGCCUGGCAGGUGCCUGGAGGGGUUCUUCCCUCAAGUCUGAGAUGACAGCAGCACAGCAAAGAUAAGAGGCUACAUAAAAUAAGG
rnacentral:lncRNA from 1 species